GACAGAAAGGGCAAGCGUUGCUCGGAAUUACUGGGCGUAAAGGGCGCGUAGGCGGGAUGGCAAGUCGGUCGUGAAAUCCCUCGGCUCAACCGAGGAACGUCGAUCGAUACUGCUGUUCUUGAGGAUUGCAGAGGAGACUGGAAUUCCCGGUGUAGCGGUGAAAUGUGUAGAGAUCGGGAGGAACACCGAUGGCGAAGGCGGGUCUCUGGGCAAUUCCUGACGCUGAGGCGCGAAAGCGUGGGGAGCAAACGGG
rnacentral:rRNA from 1 species